CAGCAGCCGCCACGGUAAUACAGAGGGUGCAAGCGUUAAUCGGAAUUACUGGGCGUAAAGCGCGCGUAGGUGGUUUGUUAAGUUGGAUGUGAAAGCCCCGGGCUCAACCUGGGAACUGCAUCCAAAACUGGCAAGCUAGAGUACGGUAGAGGGUGGUGGAAUUUCCUGUGUAGCGGUGAAAUGCGUAGAUAUAGGAAGGAACACCAGUGGCGAAGGCGACCACCUGGGCUCAUACUGACACUGAGGUGCGAAAGCGUGGGGAGCAAACAGGAUUAGAUACCCGAGUAGUCCCUGUCUCUUAUAC
rnacentral:rRNA from 1 species